UACGAAGGGGGCUAGCGUUGUUCGGAAUUACUGGGCGUAAAGGGCGCGUAGGCGGUGUGUCAAGUCAGGCGUGAAAGCCCCGGGCUCAACCUGGGAAUGGCGAUGGAUACUGGCGCGCUAGAGUGCGGUAGAGGAGAGUGGAAUUCCCGGUGUAGCAGUGAAAUGCGUAGAGAUCGGGAGGAACAUCAGUUGCGAAGGCGGCUCUCUGGACCAGCACUGACACUGAGGCACGAAAGCGUGGGGAGCAAACAGG
rnacentral:rRNA from 1 species